GAGAAUCAUCUCUCCCAGAUAAUGGCACUCUCAAACAAGUUUCCAAGUUGUUUGAAAGGCUAUUUCUUGGUCAGAUGACUCUC
rnacentral:pre_miRNA from 8 species